rnacentral:rRNA from 1 species
AUACGUAGGUGGCAAGCGUUAUCCGGAAUUAUUGGGCGUAAAGAGGGAGCAGGCGGUAACAAAGGUCUGUGGUGAAAGCCUGAAGCUUAACUUCAGUAAGCCAUAGAAACCAGGUAACUAGAGUGCAAGAGAGGAUCGUGGAAUUCCAUGUGUAGCGGUGAAAUGCGUAGAUAUAUGGAGGAACACCAGUGGCGAAGGCGACGAUCUGGCUUGUAACUGACGCUGAGUCCCGAAAGCGUGGGGAGCAAAUAGGAUUAGAUACCCUAGUAGUCCACGCCGUAAACGAUGAGUACUAAGUGUUGGGGGUCGAACCUCAGUGCUGCAGUUAACGCAAUAAGUACUCCGCCUGAGUAGUACGUUCGCAAGAAUGAA